rnacentral:rRNA from 1 species
CUGGGGGCAGUAGAAAGCACUUUGGAGAAUUAAACAGUACGGGAAGAUAUAGCUGAAAGGCGAAACGAUUGAAGUCAGUCGCGUUGGCCGGAACUCAGCCUUGCUUCCGCUUGGUGUACUUUCUGGUUGACGGGCCAGCAUCAGUUUUGAUCGUUGGAUAAAGGCUGGGGGAAUGUGGCACCUUCGGGUGUGUUAUAGCCCUCGGUCACAUACAACGGUUGGGACUGAGGAUCGCAGCACGCCUUUAUGGUCGGGGUUCGCCCACGUAUGUGCUUAGGAUGCUGGCAUAAUGGCUUUAAACGACCCGUCUUGAAACACGGACAAGACAACGUUUCAGACGGGGGGGGGGACAACCACACUUUACCCAUACCCGCCGGUGAGGGGGGGGGGA